GCGCCCAUAGCUCAAUUGGAUAGAGCACUAGUCUUCGGAACUAGGUGUUGCUGGUUCAACUCCAGCUGGGCGCA
rnacentral:tRNA from 1 species